CGUUCCCGGACCUUGCACACACCGCCCGUCAAGCCAUGGAAGCUGGGUGUACCUAAAGUCAGUAACCGCAAGGAGCUGCCUAAGGUAAAACUGGUGACUGGGGCU
rnacentral:rRNA from 1 species